GGGGGGCCAUCCUCCAAGGCUAAAUACUACUGACUGACCGAUAGUGAACCAGUACCGUGAGGGAAAGGCGAAAAGAACCCCGGAGAGGGGAGUGAAAUAGAACCUGAAACCGUAUGCGUACAAGCAGUGGGAGCCUACUUGUUAGGUGACUGCGUACCUUUUGUAUAAUGGGUCAGCGACUUAUAUUCAGUGGCAAGCUUAACCGUAUAGGGUAGGCGUAGCGAAAGCGAGUCUUAAUAGGGCGUUUAGUCGCUGGGUAUAGACCCGAAACCGGGCGAUCUAUCCAUGAGCAGGUUGAAGGUUAGGUAACACUGACUGGAGGACCGAACCCACUCCCGUUGAAAAGGUAGGGGAUGACUUGUGGAUCGGAGUGAAAGGCUAAUCAAGCUCGGAGAUAGCUGGUUCUCCUCGAAAGCUAUUUAGGUAGCGCCUCAUGUAUCACUCUGGGGGGUAGAGCACUGUUUCGGCUAGGGGGUCAUCCCGACUUACCAAACCGAUGCAAACUCCGAAUACCCAGAAGUGCCGAGCAUGGGAGACACACGGCGGGUGCUAACGUCCGUCGUGAAAAGGGAAACAACCCAGACCGCCAGCUAAGGUCCCAAAGUUGUGGUUAAGUGGUAAACGAUGUGGGAAGGCUUAGACAGCUAGGAGGUUGGCUUAGAAGCAGCCAUCCUUUAAAGAAAGCGUAAUAGCUCACUAGUCGAGUCGGCCUGCGCGGAAGAUGUAACGGGGCUCAAACCACACACCGAAGCUGCGGGUGUCACGUAAGUGACGCGGUAGAGGAGCGUUCUGUAAGCCUGUGAAGGUGAGUUGAGAAGCUUGCUGGAGGUAUCAGAAGUGCGAAUGCUGACAUGAGUAACGACAAUGGGUGUGAAAAACACCCACGCCGAAAGACCAAGGGUUCCUGCGCAACGUUAAUCGACGCAGGGUUAGUCGGUUCCUAAGGCGAGGCUGAAAAGCGUAGUCGAUGGGAAACAGGUUAAUAUUCCUGUACUUCUGGUUACUGCGAUGGAGGGACGGAGAAGGCUAGGCCAGCUUGGCGUUGGUUGUCCAAGUUUAAGGUGGUAGGCUGAAAUCUUAGGUAAAUCCGGGGUUUCAAGGCCGAGAGCUGAUGACGAGUCGUCUUUUAGAUGACGAAGUGGUUGAUGCCAUGCUUCCAAGAAAAGCUUCUAAGCUUCAGGUAACCAGGAACCGUACCCCAAACCGACACAGGUGGUCGGGUAGAGAAUACCAAGGCGCUUGAGAGAACUCGGGUGAAGGAACUAGGCAAAAUGGCACCGUAACUUCGGGAGAAGGUGCGCCGGCUAGGGUGAAGGAUUUACUCCGUAAGCUCUGGCUGGUCGAAGAUACCAGGCCGCUGCGACUGUUUAUUAAAAACACAGCACUCUGCAAACACGAAAGUGGACGUAUAGGGUGUGACGCCUGCCCGGUGCCGGAAGGUUAAUUGAUGGGGUUAGCGCAAGCGAAGCUCUUGAUCGAAGCCCCGGUAAACGGCGGCCGUAACUAUAACGGUCCUAAGGUAGCGAAAUUCCUUGUCGGGUAAGUUCCGACCUGCACGAAUGGCGUAACGAUGGCGGCGCUGUCUCCACCCGAGACUCAGUGAAAUUGAAAUCGCUGUGAAGAUGCAGUGUAUCCGCGGCUAGACGGAAAGACCCCGUGAACCUUUACUGUAGCUUUGCACUGGACUUUGAGCCUGCUUGUGUAGGAUAGGUGGGAGGCUUUGAAGCGUGGACGCCAGUUCGCGUGGAGCCAUCCUUGAAAUACCACCCUGGCAUGCUUGAGGUUCUAACUCUGGUCCGUGAUCCGGAUCGAGGACAGUGUAUGGUGGGCAGUUUGACUGGGGCGGUCUCCUCCUAAAGAGUAACGGAGGAGUACGAAGGUGCGCUCAGACCGGUCGGAAAUCGGUCGCAGAGUAUAAAGGCAAAAGCGCGCUUGACUGCGAGACAGACACGUCGAGCAGGUACGAAAGUAGGUCUUAGUGAUCCGGUGGUUCUGUAUGGAAGGGCCAUCGCUCAACGGAUAAAAGGUACUCCGGGGAUAACAGGCUGAUACCGCCCAAGAGUUCAUAUCGACGGCGGUGUUUGGCACCUCGAUGUCGGCUCAUCACAUCCUGGGGCUGAAGCCGGUCCCAAGGGUAUGGCUGUUCGCCAUUUAAAGUGGUACGCGAGCUGGGUUUAGAACGUCGUGAGACAGUUCGGUCUCUAUCUGCCGUGGACGUUUGAGAUUUGAGAGGGGCUGCUCCUAGUACGAGAGGACCGGAGUGGACGAACCUCUGGUGUUCCGGUUGUCACGCCAGUGGCAUUGCCGGGUAGCUAUGUUCGGAAAAGAUAACCGCUGAAAGCAUCUAAGCGGGAAACUUGCCUCAAGAUGAGAUCUCACUGGGAACUUGAUUCCCCUGAAGGGCCGUCGAAGACUACGACGUUGAUAGGCUGGGUGUGUAAGCGUUGUGAGGCGUUGAGCUAACCAGUACUAAUUGCCCGUGAGGCUUGACCAUAUAACACCCAAACA
rnacentral:rRNA from 1 species